rnacentral:rRNA from 1 species
UGGCGAACGGGUGAGUAACGCGUGAGGAACCUGCCUCAAAGAGGGGGACAACAGUUGGAAACGACUGCUAAUACCGCAUAAGCCCACGGGUCGGCAUCGACCAGAGGGAAAAGGAGCAAUCCGCUUUGAGAUGGCCUCGCGUCCGAUUAGCUAGUUGGUGAGGUAAUGGCCCACCAAGGCAACGAUCGGUAGCCGGACUGAGAGGUUGAACGGCCACAUUGGGACUGAGACACGGCCCAGACUCCACGGGAGGCAGCAUG